rfam:Asian citrus Psyllid, Diaphorina citri - Florida Strain, whole genome shotgun sequence.
GCCUCGUUAGCUUGGUUGGUAGCGCGUCUGCCUUGUAAGCGCUAAGCCGCGGGCUCAAUUCCCGUCCGGGGCG